rnacentral:other from 7 species
CUUUCUCUGAGAUGUUUGCAAGCGGGCCAGUCCCCUGAGCCGAUAUUUCAAUAGCACAGAAUGCGGCGCUACGCGGUUUGUGCGCAUGCCCGGUUCGUCCGGGAAGCCUGAUAGCCACGACGACGCAUUCACCUUGAACCCAGGGUUCAAGGGUUACAGCCUGCGGCGGCAUCUCGGAGAUCUU